ACUUAGUAAUCGUAUCAUCCAAACCCAUUGAUGUCCUGAGCCGUCAGUCAACAGAAAAAGGACGAUGAUGAUUUAAGAGACAGAGAUCCUUAUAGAGGUGGAAAUGACAACGUACUCUGGAGGUUAGUGUGUGUCACCAGUGGCGUAUCGUACCUCGAUAUUGCUGUUGUGAACGAGCUCGUUGUCUGUGGUUACUCCGCGCGGAUUAUUGUUGACAAUGAAGGUCUGUUUCUAGAAUUACUUCUCUUUGUUUGAGGAAUACUUUUUACAGUCACUAUUUCUACUUGAAUUUCGUCUAUAUUUUUCUUCCGUAACCAUUUCAUUUCCUUUUCUUUUUUCUCCUACCCUUUUUUUCUCUCUCUAAUCUUUCAAUUUUAGCUCUUUAUCUCCCCAAUUUCUUCGUCAUAAUCUUCGUACUCCAAUUAAUCUCACUUUCGAUGAAAGAAGUAAAACUAAGCAAAGAAAUAUUUAGUUUCUGAAUUUCAAUAAUAUCAGUUUAGAAAUUGUAUGGUUGUGUGUUAUUUUUGAUCAACGAUGAUCGGUUAUAAUUUAUUGAUUUGGGUUCUGAAAUUUCAUAUUUGUUUAUGUGAGGUUGAGGAUUUUUGUCCUAAUUGUUGGAUUUUCAUCAGCUGUAAUCUAGGUUUCUUUUUAUCCAUCCUAAGCUACGAUUGAAAUUGGAAAAAAAAUGAAAUUAGGUUUUGCAUGUUGGGGGUGCUAUUGGAAUUUGAAGAAUUAUUGAAUUCAAUCAAUUGCCAAUUGCCAUGGAGCAUGCUGCGAGUGGAAAAUUGAAGAUUGGGAGGAAAUUUUGGAGUGGUUCAUUUGGUGAACUUUAUUUAGGUACUUUUUUAUUUUUACAUCAGACUUGUAUGUAUGUGUGUGUGUGUAUUUUUUUUUUAGUUUUGGUCCUUUUAUGUUACUAUUAAGGGAUUAUUGUUCAUCAUCAUGGAUCAUUUAUGCAUCAUCAUUGACACGGGUGUGAACACACAGAAGGGAGAAGAAGUAGGCAUCAAGAUGGUAUGCUUCAGGCUUUUGACUGGAUAUAUUGUUGAAGAUGUAGAAUCAAUUGGACCUAGGAUGGUAUGCUUUUCUAUCUCAUUUCUUUUUUGUCCAUGUAUUAUUGUUUGUUACAAGAGCAUAAGUUAUUAUCUAGAUUGUGAUUUCCCGAUGGUUCUUUCUCAUAUGCAAUUGUUAUGCAACUGAAACUCUUGAUAUGCCAAUGUAAGCCUUGUUCGCUCUGAGUGCCAAAUCUUUGGUGAAUGAAAGUGAUAAUCUAUAUAUCCAUAAGAGUGUUGUGACUAAAAGAUUUACUAAUUAUUAUAUAUUGUGUUUGCUUUUAUCUAAAAUAUGUGGCCUCACAAGCAAAUGAAAGAUUAUUUACUAAUGGAAAAAGAGUUCGUCGAGAACCAGGAGGGAUUGAAGCCUUGGGAAGAGAAGAUUGAGGAGGAUAGAUCCAAGGUCGACGAUUUGCGUGGGUCAAUGAUGAGUCUCUACUCUUACUUCACUCUGUACUCUCCGUCUUUAGAGUUUCUCCCUCUAGAUUCUAGUCCCAUCAUUUCUCUCUUAAAAUCACUAAAAUGGUUUUUCCCUCCUUAGAUGUGUACACAAAAAUUUGAUGUGAAAUCCCUUAACGAGUUUCUCUCUGGCAAAUCAUCCAGUACGGAGUCGCAUCUCAUUAUUGUUAUUUCUAUAUGUUUUAUUAUGUAAAUUAUAGUAACCAACAAAUUAUUGUUUUUAUAAUUCAUAGCAAUGAUUUAACGAGAAUAUAUAUUUGGCGAUUUUCAUAUUUUUGGUUUAAUUAUGCAAAUUGUAGGGAUCAAUUGAUGAAAGAUCAUAUUAAGGUGUAUGUGGCUAUUUUGGAGAAGUAGAGUGGUGAUGUGUACCCUAUUGCCAGUCAGUGGUAUGAGAGUUCCUUGAAGCUCGUAGCCAGGUAAUUCAUUCCAUUGUAAUUUUGACUUUUUCUUCUUGUUAUUUAUUAAUUCUUUGGGAUGCAGGAUUAGCUUAUCAGGAGAACAGUUAUGAACUGAUAAUUUAACCUCUCAAGAGCAAAGUAUUGCUAAAGCGAAC
rnacentral:lncRNA from 1 species